CCUACGGGUGGCUGCAGUGGGGAAUAUUGGACAAUGGGCGAAAGCCUGAUCCAGCCAUGCCGCGUGUGUGAAGAAGGCCUUCGGGUUGUAAAGCACUUUCAGUGGGGAAGAAAGCCUUGGGGCUAAUACCCUCGAGGAAGGACAUCACCCACAGAAGAAGCACCGGCUAACUCCGUGCCAGCAGCCGCGGUAAUACGGAGGGUGCGAGCGUUAAUCGGAAUUACUGGGCGUAAAGCGCGCGUAGGCGGUCUGAUAAGCCGGUUGUGAAAGCCCCGGGCUCAACCUGGGAACGGCAUCCGGAACUGUCAGGCUAGAGUGCAGGAGAGGAAGGUAGAAUUCCCGGUGUAGCGGUGAAAUGCGUAGAGAUCGGGAGGAAUACCAGUGACGAAGGCGGCCUUCUGGACUGACACUGACGCUGAGGUGCGAAAGCGUGGGUAGCAAACAGGAUUAGAUACCCUAGUAGUC
rnacentral:rRNA from 1 species